UACGUAGGGUGCAAGCGUUGUCCGGAAUUAUUGGGCGUAAAGAGCUCGUAGGCGGUUUGUCUCGUCUGCUGUGAAAAUCCAGGGCUCAACCCUGGACCUGCAGUGGGUACGGGCAGACUAGAGUGCGGUAGGGGAGAUCGGAAUUCCUGGUGUAGCGGUGAAAUGCGCAGAUAUCAGGAGGAACACCGGUGGCGAAGGCGGAUCUCUGGGCCGUAACUGACGCUGAGGAGCGAAAGCAUGGGGAGCGAACAGG
rnacentral:rRNA from 1 species